rnacentral:rRNA from 1 species
AGUUGUAAUCUGUAGAGGAUGUUUCUGGCAAGGCGCCGUCCGAGUUCCCUGGAACGGGACGCCGGAGAGGGUGAGAGCCCCGUACAGGCGGACGCCGAGCCUCUGUGAAACUCCUUCGACGAGUCGAGUAGUUUGGGAAUGCUGCUCAAAGCGGGAGGUAAAUUUCUUCUAAAGCUAAAUAUAGGCCAGAGACCGAUAGCGCACAAGUAGAGUGAUCGAAAGAUGAAAAGCACUUUGAAAAGAGGGUUAAAAAGCACGUGAAAUUGUUGAAAGGGAAGCGCCUGUGACCAGACUCGCGCCCGGCGUAUCAUCCGGCGUUCUCGCCGGUGCACUACGCCGGGCUCGGGCCAGCAUCGGUUCUGGUGGGGGGAUAAAGGCGGCGGGGAUGUGGCUCCCCCGGGAGUGUUAUAGCCCGCCGCUCAAUGCCCUCGCCGGGACCGAGGACCGCGCAUUGCAAGGAUGCUGGCGUAAUGGUCACCAGCGACCCGUCUUGAAAACACG